UUUUCUAGCUAUUUUUAUUCUGAUGUUUGAUACUUUGCAGGUAAGUUUAGGAUGAAUGAGGAACACAAACAGGUAAUGAAAACAAAAGUUGUUAAUGUUGGGCUACCCUGUAGCUAAUUCAGCUGCAGUAGUACCCAGAGCAAUCUUCAUGCUGAAGGCAGGAGCAGAUUUUAUCCAUACCCAAGUUGGGUGGGAAAUGAUGUACUUGUUGAUUGCAAAGACAGCACUUGGGUUAAGCAAGACUCUUGUAAGGCAUGCCAUCAAAAAAAAAAAUCCACCUUUUAAAAAAUGUCAGAGAUUCAGGUGGAAUGAACAGGGUGGAUUCAGCAGGAGGGUCUGUUGAAAGCCUCUGAAUAAUUACUGAGGAAUGUUCACAGGUUCUCCUUGGGUGGCAGGGCAGGUGACAGCGCUGAGGACUUGUUGCAACACUGGUGACACCGUGAGCCGUUGGACGUGGUUGGAGACAGACAAAGAAUUGAGAGGUUGAUCCCAGAGCUGCCUCCUACUGUGGAUCCUGUCAUAAGUCUUUGAUAUGUUCAUGAUGCCACCUGUGCCUGUCCUACAAUCUUUGUUGUGUUGUGUUCAGACCAGCUGAACCCAUAAUAAAGUAGGGCAAUGCUGGCAGCUGGCACCUAAAGCUGUCACAGAGCAUUUCCUUUGGCCUUGCUUCCGUUCUGUCUCAGACCAAAUAUUUAAUGACAAUAGGUAGAGAAAAAUCUCUUCAACUUCACUGGGGUCUUAAACCCUUCCUGUUACUUGUUUAAGCAGCAAAAUACUCCAAAGGAGCAGAGGAGUUGAGUCAGAGGCAGAGCAGCACAGCGGGGAUAGAUAGCCUCACGCUCCCCUUCACGUGGUGACCAAAAGAAGUCACUACUUUCCUUUUCAUGGGGAUGCCCACAGAAUUCCCCAGAGAAGCAGCCUGGCAUAAAUCACCCUGUUGCUGGCUCACAUUUACUGGCGCUACAGCUUGAGUCUUCAUUCUUUGCCUAGCAAGAAGUGUUUACCUGCUCUGUAAACAAAUUAUCCCAUUUCAACUGAUGGAGGAAGUCACUGCUCAGCCACACCAUGGCAAAACAGAUUUUAUUUCCUCAUAUGAUCUCACCUAAGCACCCAUACUGCUACAAGCAUUUGUUUAGCACAAAGCUUAUCCUGCAGAAGCACAGUGAUUUUGCAAUGAAGGGAUUGUGCUUUUGGUGGUUGGGAAAUUCUGAAAGGCAAAUUAAGAACCCCUUUCCUGAGGCCAUUUUGCCAGAGUGCUCUCUUGCUCUAGGCAAUGCUCAUUUCCUUGUUAGCCUCUUCAAGAAAGCUAAAUGCUCCAAUUAAACAAUUAUGUUGGUCUCUGCAUUAGAAACCUCAAUCACAUCCCAUGAGUCUCUUAAAUGCCCUGUGAUUUAUCAGAGUUUUCUGCUUUUGCAGCCCCCUUGGCAGAAAGAGCACACACUGCUGGAGUGCAAGAGCUUUGUUCAGAGCAGGGGGGAUGAAAAUGUGCCUGCUAUUUUGGAUCUCACCUGGCAAAACCUAAGCUGAGUAGAAAAGUUCAUUAGGUGAUAUAAUGAUAUAUCAGACCUUCUCUGAAAGAAGAAAGAGGCCACCUAGUGCUGAAUUACAGACUGCUGUAGAAGACUAUCUGCUUGGAAGGCAUGUACAGCACCAACAAAAUCAGUAUCACAAGCAGAAAUGGAACUUUAAAAACCCAAGCAAACUCCUGCAGCUACAUUUAGUAAGAGAAGAUUGAAGUGCAUGCUAACCUUGACCUGAAUGCCAAGAAAGAUGCCCCAUGAUGUCGUGCUCAGUAUAUAAAAAGGAAGGAAGUGGCGGACGGAAAUGGCGGACGGAAAUGGCG